rnacentral:rRNA from 1 species
GUACCGUGAGGGAAAGGCGAAAAGAACCCCGGCGAGGGGAGUGAAAAAGAACCUGAAACCGUGUACGUACAAGCAGUGGGAGCACGCUUAGGCGUGUGACUGCGUACCUUUUGUAUAAUGGGUCAGCGACUUAUAUUCUGUAGCAAGGUUAACCGAAUAGGGGAGCCGAAGGGAAACCGAGUCUUAACUGGGCGUUAAGUUGCAGGGUAUAGACCCGAAACCCGGUGAUCUAGCCAUGGGCAGGUUGAAGGUUGGGUAACACUAACUGGAGGACCGAACCGACUAAUGUUGAAAAAUUAGCGGAUGACUUGUGGCUGGGGGUGAAAGGCCAAUCAAACCGGGAGAUAGCUGGUUCUCCCCGAAAGCUAUUUAGGUAGCGCCUCGUGAAUUCAUCUCCGGGGGUAGAGCACUGUUUCGGCAAGGGGGUCAUCCCGACUUACCAACCCGAUGCAAACUGCGAAUACCGGAGAAUGUUAUCACGGGAGACACACGGCGGGUGCUAACGUCCGUCGUGAAGAGGGAAACAACCCAGACCGCCAGCUAAGGUCCCAAAGUCAUGGUUAAGUGGGAAACGAUGUGGGAAGGCCCAGACAGCCAGGAUGUUGGCUUAGAAGCAGCCAUCAUUUAAAGAAAGCGUAAUAGCUCACUGGUCGAGUCGGCCUGCGCGGAAGAUGUAACGGGGCUAAACCAUGCACCGAAGCUGCGGCAGCGACGCUGAUGCGUUGUUGGGUAGGGGAGCGUUCUGUAAGCCUGUGAAGGUGUGCUGUGAGGCAUGCUGGAGGUAUCAGAAGUGCGAAUGCUGACAUAAGUAACGAUAAAGCGGGUGAAAAGCCCGCUCGCCGGAAGACCAAGGGUUCCUGUCCAACGUUAAUCGGGGCAGGGUGAGUCGACCCCUAAGGCGAGGCCGAAAGGCGUAGUCGAUGGGAAACAGGUUAAUAUUCCUGUACUUGGUGUUACUGCGAAGGGGGGACGGAGAAGGCUAUGUUGGCCGGGCGACGGUUGUCCCGGUUUAA